GGUUCGUUUCCCGGAUGGGGAGCCA
rnacentral:misc_RNA from 1 species